CCCACCACCAACACCAUCUGAAUGUGGAAGCAGUAAUCUUUGGCCUGCAUGGUGCACUGAUAAGUCCCCAGCAUUUAUUUAGUAGGUGUUGGGGACCAACACCUGGUACAGUGUGGCAGGGGACUACACAAGGGUGUGAGUACCAGAAGGUAGAGAUCACUGGGGACCAUGUUGAAGGCUGAUUACCACACCAAGAGAGAUAAGUGUUUUAUGUGUGUGAGGUCAAAAAGACAAAGGACAGAAUAUGCUUAUGUGCAAUUUCUCCUGCAGAAAACACUAAGUGAAUGCAGUAACUGCACCUGCCUGAACUGAGCCAGGGCCCAUGGACAGAAAGCAAGGGUCCACAAACCUCCAAAGGAUCCAUGAAUAGAAUUCAGAGCUAUCGGAAUACUUGGAUACAGAAAAUUACAUCCCUUUU